rnacentral:rRNA from 1 species
GACAGAGGGUGCAAACGUUGUUCGGAAUUACUGGGCGUAAAGCGUGUGUAGGCGGCCUCGCAAGUCGGGUGUGAAAGCCCCAGGCUCAACCUGGGAAGUGCACUCGAUACUGCUUGGCUAGAGUGUCGGAGAGGUUGGUGGAAUUCUCGGUGUAGAGGUGAAAUUCGUAGAUAUUCGGCAAGAACACCAGUGGCGAAGGCGGCUCACUGGCCGUCGUAGUGACGCUGAGGUGCGAAAGCGUGGGGAGCAAACAGG